UAUGAUUGCGGAACUCAAAACUACACAGUUCAUAGCUGUUGAGUCGCGUCAAGGUUCACGUAACUUCUGUGACAGCGGUAAAUGUGCCUCCGGUAAGACUCAAACUCCCGAUAGGUCUUUGCACACCCUUGCACACCACACAUAACAGAAAAAUCCCUAUCGUGGCGAUGGUCCCUGAUGUGCCAGACGACCUUACAAAACUUCGCCGACGAAAACGGACACCAUGGGCACGUAUGCAUCGCGUUUUUGCUUUUUUGUUCAGUCGGGCCCGAAACACAUAAAUGACAAUAAAACAAAAUAAAAUUUCUUAAAAAUGCAAUAUAUACAGCUUCUAGUUGAUUUUCAUUGUGCUUGUUGAAUAACGUUGCGAAGCUUGUAAUCCAAAACAAGAAAAAAAAAGCCCUUUUCGGCAAAUAAAGAGCUCAUACACCGAAGCGUUGCUCUUGUGUGAAUAAAAUAUCAGGUGUUCACUCAGAUAUUAACAGAAAGAGUGCUGUUUUUUUUUUGUCUGCCUGCGUUUAGUUUCCGCGCAACAAACUUGUUCAAAAAAUAUUUUCGAACUGGUUUUGCAUAGCCUCAAAGAUUUCAACACACUGUAGUUAGUGGUGCGUUUUGUAUCUCGAAGGCUAUACUUUUCUUGCACUGUGAGUUGUUUGACUUUUUAACCGCCACUUUGUAGGAAUUAAUUAUUCUAUUCAACGUAUAAAAGUAUAUUUGAUGGUAAGUGGCUGGCAAAUUGUUUUGUUCAUUUAAGAAUGUUUCUCAAGUAGCAAAUGAAAAAGAAAAGGUCAGCCACAAUUUUAGGUGGCGCGGGCUACCACUCCUACGGCACCCAUAGGCCGGUGCGCUUAUCGCUCCACCCCUGUGUGUCCACAAGCUAGACAAAGGAGAGAUUGCCCAGACAAGCCCGUGGGUGGAUCGCACGUGUUUGCCUUUCAGUGAACGGGUGAGUUUCGUUCGUGCUUUUUUUUUGCCUUCUCGAGGGCACGUGCGCGGAAAUGUCGACGCCGAUCCAGCGCUUGGCGUCGUUGAACGAUCGUAAGAAGAUCACCUCCAUUUGCGGGCACACCAAGGAAGAUGUCCUCGCUGCCGUGAUGGCCACAGACUUCGGAGAUGUCGCGUCAAAUUGCAGAAUGGAGGUCUACAAUGCACAAUUUGAUGCGUACGUCGACCCACCUGACGGGAAUGUGUUCUGCGAUGGAAACAAAAUUAGACUGAUCAGUAAUGAGGCCAUACCUCGCACUUGCAGCACAAGUGAAACACUUGUAGUCACGCCAGGGUUGGGCCCAUCAAGCAGUGACUACAGAUUGCCACCGCUACCAUUUGACCUAUAGGUUGCCAUCGGCAACACCGAAGCUGCAAGUUUCCAGCCGCACAAAAUCGAGGAUUAUCUCUUGGUUGAGCAACCACUUGAUUUCAAUCAGUGUGCACCCAGGAAGGCUGUACGAGACUGCUGCGAAGGCACUAAUCUUGGAGUACCCUGUACUUAAGGACACCAUUGGGACGGGUUGAUUGAGCAAAAUUAUUUACCAUUUGGAGAUCUUGCUAUCUUCUAAAAAGAUUUUAGCAGAGUAUGGUAAUGCUAUCAGCAGCAGUAAACAAUUGGCUGAAAAUAAAAUGGCAAAAUG